AUACGGAGGGUGCAAGCGUUAAUCGGAAUUACUGGGCGUAAAGCGCACGUAGGCGGUCCGUUAAGUUAGAUGUUAAAGCCCCGUGCUUAACCUGGGAACUGCAUUUAAAACUGGCGGACUAGAGUUGAGUAGAGGGGAGUGGAAUUUCAGGUGUAGCGGUGAAAUGCGUAGAGAUCUGAAGGAACACCAGUGGCGAAGGCGACUCCCUGGACUCGAACUGACGCUGAGGUACGAAAGCGUGGGUAGCAAACGGGAUUAGAAACCCCAGUAGUCC
rnacentral:rRNA from 1 species